UUUAUUCUGCAGGUUUUAAGAGGAAAGUUACUUUUUAAGUUGUUAGCCAUUGUCGGGAGGUAAAUGUAUCGAAGUUAAAACAAGAAUCUCGCUGUCAUGGAUCAUACACCCGACAUAAAAAGUUGUAAGUACCCCUGCCUCCUUCACAAAUUGCUGACACGAAUAUAUACGUAAAACCCAUAAGACUAGAAGUAUUAUUGAUCAUAAUUUGUAGCCAGAAGUCCUAAAUAAGGUAUUUAAACGGGUGCAACUUUAAUACUUUUCCCACCGAAGGAAGCGAGAAAUACCAAGUGUUGUAACGCUCAUAGAUUUAGCUAAUAACGAUCUUACCGUCAUCAAUAAAGAAAUGCUUGCUGGCUUUCCAGAUUGACUUACUUGUAAGACUAUAAUCCUGUUAGAAUUAAUGUAACUUUUUACUGUAUAUAACGUUAUCCGAAUUAAUAGUUAA